rnacentral:rRNA from 1 species
UACGAAGGGGGCAAGCGUUGUUCGGAAUUACUGGGCGUAAAGGGCGCGUAGGCGGCUUCGUCAGUCAGGUGUGAAAGCCCUGGGCUCAACCCGGGAACUGCAUUUGAUACUGCGAAGCUCGAAUCUCGGAGAGGUUGGUGGAAUUCCCAGUGUAGAGGUGAAAUUCGUAGAGAUUGGGAAGAACACCUGAGGCGAAGGCGGGUUGCUGGGCCGACACUGACGCUGAUGCGCGAAAGCCAGGGGAGCGAACGGG